rnacentral:rRNA from 1 species
AACGAACGCUGGCGGCAUGCCUAACACAUGCAAGUCGAACGAGACCUUCGGGUCUAGUUGCGCACGGGUGCGUAACGCGUGGGAACCUUCCCUUAGGUUCGGAAUAACUCCCCGAAAGGGGUGCUAAUACCGGAUAAUGUCGUCGGACCAAAGAUUUAUCGCCUUUGGAUGGGCCCGCGUUGGAUUAGCUAGUUGGUAGGGUAAAAGCCUACCAAGGCGACGAUCCAUAGCUGGUCUGAGAGGAUGAUCAGCCACACUGGGACUGAGACACGGCCCAGACUCAUACGGGAGGCAGCAGUGGGGAAUAUUGGACAAUGGGCGAAAGUCUGAUCCAGCAAUGCCGCGUGAGUGAUGAAGGCCUUAGGGUUGUAAAGCUCUUUUAGCCGGGAUGAUAAUGACAGUACCGGGAGAAUAAGCCCCGGCUAACUCCGUG